UACGGAGGGUGCGAGCGUUGUCCGGAAUCACUGGGCGUAAAGGGCGCGUAGGCGGCGCGGGUAGUCAUCGGUGAAAGUUCAGGGCUCAACUCUGAAUCGGCCGGUGAUACUCCCGUGCUCGAGCACUGUAGAGGCAGGUGGAAUUCCGGGUGUAGCGGUGGAAUGCGCAGAUAUCGGGAGGAACACCGGUGGCGAAGGCGGUUCUCUGGGCCUGUACUGACGCUGAGGAGCGAAAGCGUGGGGAGCGAACAGG
rnacentral:rRNA from 1 species